AACGAACGCUGGCGGCAUGCCUAACACAUGCAAGUCGAACGAUGCCUUCGGGCAUAGUGGCGCACGGGUGCGUAACGCGUGGGAAUCUGCCUUUCGGUUCGGAAUAACUCAGGGAAACUUGAGCUAAUACCGGAUAACGUCGCACGACCAAAGAUUUAUCACCGAAAGAUGAGCCCGCGUAGGAUUAGCUAGUUGGUGAGGUAAAGGCUCACCAAGGAGACGAUCCUUAGCUGGUCUGAGAGGAUGAGCAGCCACACGGGGACUGAGACACGGCCCAGACUCCUACGGGAGGCAGCAGUGGGGAAUAUUGGACAAUGGCAGAAAGGCUGAAGCAGCAAUGCCGCGUGAAUGAUGAAGGCCUGAGGGUUGUAAAGCUCUUUUACGCGGGAAGAUAAUGACGGUACCGGGAGAAUAAGCCCCGGCUAACUACGUG
rnacentral:rRNA from 1 species